GAACAGCUCAGUUCGAUUCGAUUCGGGAACGAGUCGUUUGGAGCGUUUUGAAAGAUUCAUUCAAAAAGAUUCGUUCACGGAUCACUUCGCUCACAUCGCUAGCAGGAGGCGUCCAGAGCGGCUGUGUCAGUCGAAAGCGAACAUCUUCAUCAGGGAUUUUGCGUCUUUUGAGGGCUCAAAAAAGAGUUAGCGACAUUCGUCCAGUCGUUCGGAAGCAAAAUGCCUGAAUUAGUUGCGUUUUAUCGGAUCUAGAUCAGUAUUCAUGGACUGAUGCGGCCAUGGCAAGUCUUGGUGUCCGCUGUAUCGAUACACGCCUGCAACAUCUGAAGGAUAUAAAGUGAAAGAUAAAUUAUCAUUAAGUUUAUCUGAUCUCGGCAGACUCCAUCUGUGCGCAUGCGAGAUAACAGGUCUGUGCUCUGGAUAUGCUGAUGUAAACUGAUAUAGACGGAGUAUCUGUUCAAGAUAAUGCGAUUUUGUCUUUCCAUGGACAAAAUCAUCGGCAAGUCUAAAACGGGGACUAAUUUGUACCAUUUGGUUUGUAACGUGUUUUUAAACGGUACAUUUGAUGGUUAAUGAACGGAUAUCUUCACCUACAAUCAGCUGACCACCUAUGAAUUCACUGCAUUAGAAGAGAUAUCCUGGAGUUUUCCUUCAUUUGCUUGAACAAAAGCAGACUUGGACCCCAGAUAUUUAGUCUUGUGUUAAAGGAGCCUAUAAGGAUCGUGGUUAAAGAGUAGAGGCAUCUUGGAGAUGUCAGGCCGGCCUAGGACCACCUCAUUUGCGGAGAGCUGCAAGCCAGUGCCGCAGCCUUCAGCCUUUGGCAACAUGAAAGUCAGCAAAUAUUCCCGUGGACACACAAAACACUCCUGUAUGAAUUCUUUCUUCUAUGGAAGUCGAUGGCUACCGUCAGCUGUUUGGUUACCAGCAUUUUUCAAAAUGUAUUCUUUUGGACUCAAAAGAAGAAAGAAACUCGUACAGGUUUGGAACAACUUGAGGGUGAGAAAAUGACACAAUUUUCAUUUUUGGGUGAACUAGCCCUUUAAGGGCUUAAUCUGAGACCCUUUUAGCUGGUUAGAUUCAUUGUACUACCAAGGAAGAUGUUCCAUGAUGAGCUCAGGGCUUGUUUUAGUGCUCUGACAUCCUUGAAUAGGUAUAGAUUUAUAAGCCAUAAAUGUCUUGAGGGACAGCUCACUACUUGAUAUCUCACUUACUUUCUAGCUGGAGAGCUGCAUGAGCUGCAAAAUUGUCCAUUGCCCCUCUUUGAACCCAUGCCCCAUGGUUUGAUUGACAGGCCUCUCUCCAGAGCCUCAGCCCAGCUGGAUAACUCAUUUCCUGCACUAAUGAUGUGCAUCUCACCACUGUGCUCCUCAGGAAAGGAGGAUCAGAGGGAUGCAUGUGACUCACCUCGUACUUUAGCUCUCUCCCAAGUGUCUAUACCUACAGCAGCUGUCUGUAGUGUCACAGUCAACUUAAUAAUAGGGGCGGACAUGUGGAUUAGCACUCUGACCAGCACUUAAAACAUCCAUGUCUGUCUAAUGGUGUCUUAAUGGAAGCACAAUGGUUUCAUUACAUUAUUUUCUACUUGGGAUUAGGUUUUGGAGGGUUUAAAAGCAGAUAUUGUUGACGUUAUGUACAACAAUAUAAUUGCAAAUGAAUGCAUGUGUGUUAGAGUAUGUGCCGGUGGUCCUGUGGUUGAUCUGAUCAGCUGACUCCCAGCAUCAGCCUUACCAGCUGACUCAUCUUGCUGCCAUAGCGACACCCAGGCCUGAGGCAGCGGGACUUCCUCCACAGGGUGCGUCCUAUAGAGGGGCUACACCUGAGCAUGUGAUGCACUCAUUACCAUCACACACCAAAUAGCCUAUGUCUAGGCACGCUUAUCAGAGAACAGCAGCAGGGCUCUCUUCAUAGCUGCCAAAUUACAUUUCAUAGCUCGUACCAUGAACCUGUCCAAUCAAAUUAGGGUUUAAAUCUAUUUAGAGCUAUUAUAGACCUCCUUAGGGUAGGUGUCUGUUUAAUGUGUAUGAAACGUGCCUGUGAGGGACAGAAGUUUGUUCAGCGGUUCAAUUGUACUGGGAUGAUCAUUAUUAUAUUGUUAACAAUAAAAAUAUUUCAGUAUUUCCA
ensembl:lncRNA